ACUCAAAUGAAUAGACGGGGACCCGCACAAGCAGCGGAGCGUGUGGUUUAAUUCGAGGCUACGCGAAGAACCUUACCAGGGAUUGACAUGUGGGUAGUAGGGAAGCGAAAGCGGACCGAGCCUUCGGGCAGCCCACACAGGUGAUGCAUGGCUGUCGUCAGCUCGUGCCGUGAGGUGUUUGGUUAAGUCCACUAACGAGCGCAACCCUUAGGGCCAGUUACAAGUGUCUGGCCCGACUGCCGGUAUCAAGCCGGAGGAAGGUGGGGAUGACGUCAAGUCAGCAUGUCCUUUAUAUCCUGGGCUACACACACGCUACAAUGGCCGGUACAGUAGGUUGCGAAGCCGCGAGGCGGAGCCAAUCCCACAAAGCCGGUCUCAGUUCGGAUUGGAGGCUGCAACUCGCCUCCAUGAAGUCGGAGUUGCUAGUAAACGCAGGACAGCCAUACUGCGUUGAAUACGUUCCCGGGUCUUGUACACACCGCCCGU
rnacentral:rRNA from 1 species